CCUACGGGAGGCAGCAGUGAGGAAUAUUGGUCAAUGGGCGCUAGCCUGAACCAGCCAAGUAGCGUGAAGGAUGACUGCCCUAUGGGUUGUAAACUUCUUUUAUAUGGGAAUAAAGUGCAGGAUGGAUACUGCGUUGCAUGUACCUUAAGAACAAGGAUCGGCCAACGCCGUGCCAGCAGCCGCGGGAAUACGGAGGAUGCGAGCGUUAUCCGGAGUUAUUGGGUUUAAAGGGAGCGUAGGCGGGUGGUUAAGUCAGUGGUGAAAGUUUGGGGCUCAACAGUAAAAUUGCAGUUGAUACUGGCAUCCUUGAGUACAGUAGAGGUAGGCGGAAUUCGUGGUGUAGCGGUGAAAUGCUUAGAUAUCACGAAGAACUCCGAUUGCGAAGGCAGCCUGCUGGACUGUAACUGACGCUGAUGCUCGAAAGUGUGGGUAUCAAACAGGAUUAGAUACCCGUGUAGUC
rnacentral:rRNA from 1 species